CUUUGCUUGCCUGCCCAGCCCUCACCUUGCCUGCAUAUCUCUUCCCCAAACCCCCCAAAAAGACACCUCUCUUUCACCCUAAUCUCUCUCUCUCUCCAAGUCACAACCUAAUCUUUUCAUCUCUCUCUCUUAUUUGCAGCUCUUUUCCCUCAAGGUAUUAAACAUGGUUGCUUUGCCCAUCACCACCCCAGCAUCACUAGGUCGAUGCCAUCUAAUCUUUACCACAAGCUUGACUGGUAGAACCUCAGGGUUCCAUAGCUAUAGGAGAAAACUUGGCCCCAUGUGCUCAAUGAAGUCAUCUCACAUGAGCAAGAGAGAGACCUCUUCUAAGGUUUCUGAUCCACCAUUUGUAAAUGAUCACACGGUUGAACAUCAUGGGAAGUCAAUUGAAGAACUAAGGGAAGAAGCUAGAAGAAUGCUCAUGGCUGAAAAUGGUGGAGAAAGGAUCCUUAAUCUCAUGGACUUAUUGCAACAUCUAGGAUUAGCACACAACUUUGAGAGAGAGAUAGAACACGCUUUAGAUCUCAUCUAUCAGAGAAACGACGGUUACGAUGAUUUGUCUUCGGUGUCCCUCCGGUUUCGACUUCUAAGACAAGAAGGAUACAAUGUGUCCUCAGAUAAUUUCAAGAAAUUCACUCUCAAGGAAGGGAAAUUCAAUCCAUGUCUGAUUGAAGAUGUGAGGGGAAUGUUGUGCUUAUAUGAAGCUUCACACCUUGGUACACCAAGAGAAGAUAUAUUAAAUGAAGCUCUGGACUUCACUAGCAAGCAUCUUAAAGGUGUGAUGGAGGACUUGGAGCCAAACCUUGCAAGAGAAAUAAGGAGUGCCCUAGAACUUCCUUUGCAUAGAAGGGUGAAUAGAUUGAUGGUGAAGGACAACAUCAUGGCAUAUGAGAGGUGCAAGGACAACAACAAAGUUUUGUUGGAGCUUGCCAAGUUGGACUUCAACAUGGUACAAUUAUUGUACCAAAGAGAGAUCAAUGACAUACUGAGGUGGUGGCGAGAACUUGGACUCACCAAGCAGCUUACUUUUGCCAGAGAUCGUCCCCUAGAGUGUUACUUUUGGACGGUGGGGAUCUUUUCUGAGCCCUCUUUUUCAAAGUGCAGAAUGGAAUUGACAAAAACCAUAGCCCUCUUGUCAGUCAUUGAUGAUAUCUAUGACAUAUAUGGUUCUUUGGAGGAGUUAGAAAUCUUCACAAAUGCAGUCCAAAGAUGGGAUCUUUCUGCCAUGGAGGAGCUUCCAGAGUACAUGAAGAUAUGUUACUUGGCUUUGUACAACACCAUUAACCAAAUGGCAAUUGAAAUUUUGAAUGACUAUGGACGGAAUGUUGUCAUGCACUUGAAGAAAAGGUGGUCAGAUCUAUGCCAUGCAUAUCUUGUGGAAGCACAAUGGGUCAGAAGAGGCUAUGUUCCAACCCUAGAUGAGUACCUGAGGACUUCAGCCAUUACAGGAGGGACAUAUAUGGCUUUGUUUCACAGCCUUUGCUUGAUGGGAGACAAAGUGACAAGGGAAAGUAACGAAACAAUUGAUCAAAAUCCAAACAUAGUUUGGUGCUCUGCAGUGAUCCUUCGACUUUGGGAUGACUUGGGAACUUCGAAGGAUGAAAAAGAAAGAGGAGAUGUUUCUUCAAGCAUUGAAUAUUACAUGAGAAACAACGGUAAAUGUACGGAUGAUCAAGCUCGAGAGAAUAUAAGAAGUUGCAUUAGUGAUACUUGGAAGGAGCUUAAUUGCCACUACUUCCAAUCAUCUCCUUUCUCCAAGUCAUUCUCUAAAGCAGCAUUGAAUCUUUCAAGAAUGGCUCAAGUUAUAUAUCAGCAUGGAGACAAUCCUAGUUUUCCUGCCAUUGAUGACCACAUCAAGUCCUUCAUGGACCCUAUUCCUCUUCUAAACCAACAAGGUGUGGAGUUCUGAUGCAGAUCAAGAUCUGGUUGCUACAAAAUUUAAAUUUAAUUUUUUUUUAAUUUUAGUUGUAGAGAUAUGGGUAGACUUUUAUUUUUGUUUAUUAUGGUUAAUUUUUAGAAAUAGGAUUAAUAUGAGUUUUUUUUGUUUAAUUUUUAGAAAUAGGAUUAAUAUGUGGUACUCUGCAGUGAUCCUUCGACUUUGGGAUGACUUGGGAACCUCCAAGGUACAUUGCAAUGCUAGAAAAAUUGCCAAUUUGACUUAGGAAUCGUUGGGGUCGGAUCAAACUAGUAGCCAACGAUUUUGGGCCAAAACUCAAAAUUGCCUCCACCUCUUGUUUUUCUUUUUAUAAAACUUCAAACUUUUUAUGUUAAAAUUUUCUAGGUUGACUCACACUCGUGCGAGUCUAAGAAACUCGGCUUCAAAGCCCCUAACAAGUCAAACCUGAGGUCGACUUUUCAAACACUAGUAUAUUGUCCUAAAUUGAGUGGAGACUAUGAGACAUCUUCCAAUUCUACCCUUUUGUCACCUUCCUCUGAACCACUGUCUCAAAAAGGUUAUUAGAGGCCAUGAGACAAUACUCAUCCUUUUUAAAUUUUUCCGUGGUCACCUUCCUAUAUAUCAGUGUCUCAAAAAUUACAAUCAAACUCCAAAUAGGCUUUGAUCCAACCUAAACCCUAAACCCUGAAACCUCCGACAAUUCUGAGUCAUACCAUGCUAUAUUUCCCAUGAAAGAUAUGGAGAAUUGACUAGGAAUGGCCAAUCCAACUUUGAACUGCCGAAUUGGAUUGGGAUUAUGAGGGGAUAUGUGUCGGACUCAGCAAUCCUUGAUGGACCCUAUUUCUCUCCUAAACCAACAAGAUGUGGAGUUCUAAUGCAAAUCAAGAUCUGGUUUCUAAAACUUUAAAAAGAUCAAGGAAGCGUCAAUGUAUAAAAAAGCUUGACAUGAAUAAAAAAUAAAAUGAUCUUUGCAGAUCGUGUAGAGAGAGAGAGAGAGAGAGAGAGAGAGAUAGAGUGGCUCUUUGUGGGUAUUUUCUUUCUUCCUUCUUGUACUUGUGGGCACGUAGC